AUUGAACGCUGGCGGCAGGCUUAACACAUGCAAGUCGAGCGAGCGGCGGACGGGUGAGUAAUGUCUGGGCAACUGCCUGAUGGAGGGGGAUAACUACUGGAAACGGUAGCUAAUACCGCAUACCAUCAGAUGUGCCCAGAUGGGAUUAGCUAGUGGGUGGGGUAAUGGCUCACCUCGGCGACGAUCCCUAGCUGGUCUGAUAGGAUGACCGGCAACACGGGAACGGAGACACGGCCAAGACUCCGACGGGAGGCAGCGGGGGGGAAGAUUGCACAAGGGGGGCAAGCCUGAUGCAGCCAGGCCGCGGGGGUGAAGAAGGCCUUCGGGUUGUAAAGCACUUUAAGCGAGGAGGCGUUACCCGCAGAAGAAGCAACGGCUAACUCCGUGCCAGCAGCCGCGGUAAUAC
rnacentral:rRNA from 1 species